UCAAUGACUAGAAUGAUACAUGUCUCAGUAUGGAGUAGUACAGGCAUGAACAAAAGAAUAGUAUAGAUUUAUUUCAACUGAAUUAGGGAAGAACAACAUGACAAAUAAUGGAUGUUUAUACUUUAUAAUCUGUUGGAGGAGGGCUUUGUGCCAAAUGCCAGUUUUAUACCCUUCUGAUAGAUCACUUCUUAAAGGAGGGGGAGAGCUUGAAUUUGCUUAUAGAUUUGUUGAUUUGAUGGAAAGAAAACAGAUUGAAUGUGAUAUGAUAAUGUAUAUUGCAUUGGUCACCCCUGAGAGGAAGCUGGUGUUCUGUGAAUUGUGGGUCUGAAAGGGCAAGACCCCAGGGAAAACAAUAAUUCAUUGUAAUUCUCACAAACUACUUCAUGGGUCAUAAGGGUCACAUUUAAUGCAUAAUGGGUGUUUUUCUCAAGUCUGGUCUCUUGUGAAAACAACUGAAAUGUCUUUAGAGCAUUCUUGCCUUCAAAGUAUUUGAAGAAAUGUUUGCCAAUGAUUUUGUACUUAAGUGCUUUGCUUAUAUAGAGUAAUUGCUUACUUUGCAUCUUAAGUGGAGAGGAUCGGAUGUAUGAAGCUCAUAUACUAAUUGAUGAGGUGCUUGGGAUAUGAGAAUAUCAAGAUGAAAUGGCAAAGACUGUUAUGGUGGAAGCAUGGGCUGGGAAAAAAUUGCUGGAUCGAGAAAAUUAUCAUUGCUGGGUAGUUGCAUAACAUUAUCGUAUAUAGUGCAGUACAUCUGGAGCUUGGCAGUAAGGGACUUUUCUUAUGGCCAUGAUCAUUGGGUGUUGAAAAUUAGCCACGUGGACUAUUUAUGUCAGUAAAUUUCCCAGGGAAGAUUGAAGUUUAGACACUCUUUUCUGGAUGAUGACCAAGGGGUUCUUCAGUGUGCAGCAGUCUUUUUUCAAAUAAUGAGAGGAUCAUAAAGAGAAGUGAAAGCAAAAAAGCGCCUUUUUUCCCCUUGUAUUCUGAGGAUAAACAUUCACAAAUAGAUGGAUCGAUACACGCAAAUGGGAGAUGCUGUCAAGAAUGAAACAAGAAGAUGAUGAUAGUUGCAAUGUGGUGUAUAGAGCUGAAGACCGAGGACCAUCCUUCAAUAUCAAAGGCUUCAAGAUGAUCAAAGGGGAUGUUAAAUGCUUGAAAAUCCCAACCAGGCCUUCUUUAUGUUCUCUGGAAACAUCAUUGAAGAUCAUAAGAAGAAUUCCAAUGGGGAUAAUGAUUUCAUCACAUGAUGCCAUGGACACAAUAAUCUUAGAAAGAAGGUAAUGUUACUCUAUAUCUAUGUUCAUGCUCUGUAAUAGUAUAUUUGUAUGUAUAUAUAUAUAAUGCACAUACAUCAGUCUAAUGUGCUGUCUUGAUGCACUUGCUUGACAUCCUAGAAAUAAGAAUCUAUAGAUAUAACAAUAAAGCAUUAAUCCAGGUGUUUGAAUUACCUUCUCCUUUGCUCUUGAAAAUUUGGAAUAAGUCUUUCCAUUUCCCUUCAGACUAGUUCCAUUUCUUUGCAGAUUCUAGAGAUAUAAUUAUUUGGUUUGCAGGGAAUUGAGUAGUCUAGUUUGUUAUGUCUCUAUUGCUAGCAAGGCUGGCUGUUCCAAUAUUAAUGAUGCCCCUAAAUAACAGCCUCAAUGCACAGAGUGAUCCAAAAACUUUGAGGGUGAAUGAAAACAGAGAUUCAAAAGCCACAUUUGGGUUGAGGGUAACAGAGAAAGUUAAAGGCUGCAUUCUAAUCUCGAGAGAGGGAUGGCUGCAUUUUAAUCUUGAGAGAGGGAUCAGAGGAAAGCAGAUGCAACAUUUUGGCACAAAGAGGAAAAGUUUUGUAAUCCUGAGAGAAGGAAUGGAGAAACAUAAAUGUUGUGUUUUUUGUGAGAACUUUCUCAGUUUUGGUUUUAUCAUUUUGCAUCCUUGAUAUUGUUGUUUUCUCUGUUCACAUUUCUGUUUGUUAGUAUGACAUCUUUCAGCUUGUGUUAGUUUUGUUGUUUCUAGUAAGGUUAAUUUUUUCUCCUGUCCCUGGAAAAAGAAAAAACCUACUUUGAUUUUUCUUUUUCUUUUUCAGAUUUUUAUUAUCAGUUACAUUGUUUUGUUUCCAUUUGUGCCCAGUCAAAAUGACAGUAUGCUAGG